CUCUUAUCAAGAGAGGUGGAGGGAUAGGGCCCUGCGAAACCCGGCAACCUGUGUUAUGCACAAAGGUGCCAAUUCCUGCAGUGAAAAAUCUGCGAGAUAAGAG
rnacentral:ncRNA from 2 species